CUCACGUAUGCCUAAACAACUUCUGCUAAGAAAGCAGGGAAGCGCCCAUUCAAAUAUGGGAGUUGCCACAGAUGCGGGAACCACCACCCCCUGCUGGAUCUCUCCACUGCCAAUCGGCUGCUGCUUCCGAAGGACCUGAGACAGGAGAGCAGGGAAAAGAAAAAGGGCCGUCAGGAACUGACACACAGACCCGACCUGGAAGCUGGACUCCAGACCUAAAGGCAAGAUCAAGGAAAACGAUUUGCCACCUAUCAAGGAUCCGCGGAGGGCCCCAAAACGUCCUGGACUAAACACUGGGACCCCAAGCAGUUACACCCAUCCCUUGCUCCA